rnacentral:rRNA from 1 species
AACGAACGCUGGCGGCAGGCUUAACACAUGCAAGUCGAACGAGAUCUUCGGAUCUAGUGGCAGACGGGUGAGGAACACGUGGGAACAUCCCUUUCAGUUCGGAAUAACGUUGGGAAACUAACGCUAAUACCGGAUACGUCCUUCGGGAGAAAGAUUUAUCGCUGAAAGAUUGGCCCGCGUCUGAUUAGUUAGUUGGUGAGGUAAUGGCUCACCAAGGCUACGAUCAGUAGCUGAUCUGAGAGGAUGAUCGGCCACAUUGGGACUGAGACACGGCCCAAACUCCUACGGGAGGCAGCAGUGGGGAAUAUUGGACAAUGGGCGCAAGCCUGAUCCAGCCAUGCCGCGUGAGUGAUGACGGCCUUCGGGUUGUAAAGCUCUUUUGUCCGGGAAGAUAAUGACUGUACCGGAAGAAUAAGCCCCGGCAAACUUCGUGCCAGCCGCCGCGGUAA